UUGCAGAAGAGCUUGUUUGACCGGUAACUUAAAUGCUUAAUGUAGUCUGGGUGGACUGGAGUAUGAUAUGCUUUUGCAUGAAGGGAGUUCCUUAACCUUGACUUUGAAUUAGUUAUAUUAAUUUUCUCCUUACACCUAGAUCUUGGGCAUCAUCGGAUAAUCUUGCUCAUGGGUAUCUUGAUAUUAUGAUUGAAAAGUUUGUUAUGCUAGCUUUUCCCUACUGUAGCCGUUCACGUGCAAUCAUGAAAGUAAAUUUAUUAUUUGUUCUGUUGCAGAUAAGCUUGUCCUGUAGGACAGAGUUUUGCCCAUAUCGAAGAGUUGGUCCUUGUUUUUGCCAUGCUUAUUGUUUGACACCUUCAUGUUCCUGAUUACCCAUUUUUUUCACUAGUUCUAUUCCUUUGGGUUAAUCUCUUAAUAAUUCUUUCAACUUGCUUCACCAGAAUAUGUUUUGAUCAGGAAGGCAAUGCAGAGCCUCACUUCCGCUGAUCCUCUGGUAGUCAAAGCAUGUGGGAAACAACAUGGAUGCUAUAUUUCUAAGUGGUUUUGCAGCUGAUAUGCUGUGCCAUGUUUCUUAUCUAUGUUCCAAAAUCUUAUUAAACCUCAUUAAUUUCUGUUGUACCAGUAACCUAGUGACUUCCUUUCAUUUGUUUGAUCAGUACCAAGGUUUUAAAUACCGGUGGGACAGUGGGGACCUUGAGCACUCAAGACAGUCAGGGUGGAUUGGAGCAUGAUAUGUAUUCUUAAUGGAGGGGGUUCUUCAACCUUGAUUGUAGAAUUUGUUCUAUUACAUUUUUUUUCCUUUCAUGCCUACAGUGCAUGUCAUAGGCUAGUUUCUUAUUUCUGAUGUUGCAAAAGAGCUUGUUUGACCAGUUACUUGAAUGCUUAAUGUAGUCUGGGUGGACUGGAGUAUGAUAUGCUUUUGCAUGAAGGGAGUUUCUUAACCUUGACUUUGAAUUAGUUAUAUUAAUUUUCUCCUUACACCUAGAAGAUCUUGGGCAUCGUCGGAUAAUCUUGCUCAUAGGUCUCUUGAUAUUAUGAUUGAAAAGUUUGUUAUGCUAGCUUUUCCCUAGUGUAGCCGUUCACGUGCAAUCAUGAAAGUAAAUUUAUUAUUUGUUCUGUUUCAGAUGAGCUUGUCCUGUAUGACAGAGUUUUGCCCAUAUCAAAAAGCUGGUCAUUGUUUUUGCCAUACUUAUUGUUUGACACCUUCAUGUUCUUGAUUACCCUUUUUUUUCACUAGUUCUAUUCCUUUGGGUUGAUCUCUUAAUAAUUCUUUCAACUUGCUUCACCAGAAUAUGUUUUGAUCAGGAAGGCAAUGCAGAGCCUCACUUCUGCUGAUACUCUAGGAGUCAAAGCAUGUUGGGAACAACAUGGAUGCUAUGUUUCUAAGUGGUUUUGCAGCUGAUAUGCUGUACUAUGUUUCUUAUCUAUGCUCCAAAAUCUUAUUAAAUCUCAUUAGUUCCUAUUUGACCAAUAACCUAGUGACUUCCUUUCAUUUGUUUGAUCAAUACCAAGGUUUUUUAUACCGGUGGGACAGUGGGGAC
rnacentral:lncRNA from 1 species